rnacentral:rRNA from 1 species
GAUGAACGCUGGCGGCGUGCUUAACACAUGCAAGUCGAACGAAGCACUUAAAUUUGAUUCUUCGGAUGAAGAUUUUUGUGACUGAGUGGCGGACGGGUGAGUAACGCGUGGGUAACCUGCCUCAUACAGGGGGAUAACAGUUAGAAAUGACUGCUAAUACCGCAUAAGCGCACGGUGUCGCAUGACACAGUGUGAAAAACUCCGGUGGUAUGAGAUGGACCCGCGUCUGAUUAGCUAGUUGGCGAGGUAACGGCCCACCAAGGCGAUGAUCAGUAGCCGGACUGAGAGGUUGACCGGCCACAUUGGGACUGAGAUACGGCCCAG